GAGGGUAUAUCCCAGUGGUAGAGUACAUGCUUAGCAUGUACAAGGUCCUGGGUUCGAUCCCCAGUACUGCCA
rnacentral:tRNA from 1 species